AGGGAGGGGGAGGAGUCCCUGACCCCAAGGGAAAGUGCGUCUAGGGAUGCCUGGACCUCAGCCAACGCAGCCAAAGGGGCCGCUCUGGCCACCGGCCUCUCGCCCCACCCAGAAGGGAGGGGCCUGCCCACACCCCACCCUGGACAGGCUGUCUUGCCGUCCAGUCGACACAGCACAGUUCCCAGGACGGGGCGGGGCUGCAUCUCAGGGGCGGAACCUGCCGGGCCCCAUUUUCAGAAAUCAGCGGAGCAGAAAGAGAAGAGGGCGCGUUUCCUGCUUCUCCUCUGGGCGCAGUCCUCGCAGCGACGCCGGCCCAGGCCCUGUGGGGCGGGACUUGCAGCUGGCGGUCAGCCAGGGGGUGGGGGCGGGGCUGAGGGCUUGUCCCUCCAGGCAGACCCGCUGCAGCCCGGGUGGGCUCCCCGCAAGGGGUGUUCCACCCGCCUAACCCCGUUCCUCCCCUCUCUCCAACCAAAGCUUCAGGGAAGUUCCUUUUACACCAUCCUGCCCCUCUGAGGCCUAGGUAGGCACAGGACGGCUCUGAGUGGUUUCCAGGUGUUUUCACCUGAGCACACCUGUCCGCCAGUGUGUCCUGGAGGCUAAACACCUUCAUCCGAGGCUCACCCCGAAGGCGACACCCUGGGUCCUGGUGAGAACCCCCCGUGGAGCUCAGGCCCCCACGGCCGCUGAUUAACCCGACGGCUGCUCCUUUCUGACUAUGCUGCACGGCGCCCGCAGUGCACUUUCUGCAGGACGGUCCAGCGUGUGAGGCUUUCAGUUAUAGAACAGGGUAAUCUGGAAGCUGUCUUUUCUGUCAAAACAAGGAUUAUACAACCUCGCAGUGAUGAUUCCUUAGUUUCAGAGUUUCUUUUUUUUAACUCAGUGCUGCUUUUCUGUGUCUAACCACAUCUGGACUGCCAGGCCCUCACCACUGCAUAUGGAAAGCACGCCUUUUGAAAAGUUUCUGACGGUUUUGAUUACACA